ensembl:lncRNA
AGUCAUGCAAGUAGUUUGGUAAGCAUGAGUCACAUUCUCAGGGCCUGGUCACUCCUGGGAAAUACAAGUCAUUGGAACUUUAAAAGAUGACCAAAUUUAGCUGGCCUCUCUUUUAGAUGACUGCAUGCAGGAGCACAUGUCCAUUCAAAGCAUUUUAAAAGUUUCCAUUUCCUUCCUCUCCAUUUAGCUGUUGGCAGGAAGCUGGAAGAUCCUCUUUCUGAGAAGAAUUGUUCCAGAAUAAAAAUCAACAGAAUCUCACAUCCCGAGGGAAAAUCCUGCUGACCAUCUUGAUGGUAUCCACCAAUCGUGCCUGCUGCCGGUGUUGCUUGACAGUUUUCUUCACUCCAUGGUAGAUUUUAAUUCUCAUCACUUUAUUCCCGUCAUAGAAGUUAAAAUAAAUUUCUAGACUUGGUACCUCAGAUUUAGGCCCAAGGCUCUAGACUGUGGACCUCUGCCCCACAGGGCCUUGCUCACUCCCACCACCACAGCAGGCCUUCAAAUGCCAUCAAAUUACUCUCCAUUCAGGACCCUUGAAUUCCUGCUGGCUGAAGAGUGAAGAGAAUGAAAAUGUUGGCUGUAAGCCUGUGCACGAGCUGGUGAUAUGGCAAGCACAUGCGGGAAGCGGUGUACAGUGCAGGGGUGGAAGGGCAGGUCAGUCUGCCUGCACUGACUGACAAAGGGGUGGGUGACAAAGGGAAGAGGCUGAUGCCAGGGAGGGAACAGAUGUGGAGUUUAUAAGCCUAAACCCCAAUACCUUCUGAGAAAACACAAAGCUGUUUCCAUUGGUUUUUUCCUAUCUACCUUCUCCUGACGUUUAGCCUUAAUAUUGCCAGAUGCCUUUAAAAAUAAGGGACAGCUUAUCUCCACAUUAUUUCACAGACAGCUUUUCCAUUUUAUGCACUGCCUAGGACUUAGCGUAAUGCCUCAUAUGCUAUAGGAACUCAAAGAAUAAUUAAUGAAUACAUUAUUUUUAAUCAUUUUUGAAAUAAACUGCUCAGUAUUGUAUGUAUAUUGCUCACUAGAACCAGGUCAUUGACUCACCUAACCAGUUCAUAGCUUAUUACUAAAUUGUUGAUCCAGAAACAGUCCAGGCAUCCAGGGUAUAGCAGGGAGAGAGUGCGCCUGAGUCUAGUUCUGGAUUGUUCAUCCAGUGUUCUAGGUAUAAAACAGGUAGAAAUCUAUUCUCUGGCUCAAAUCUACAUUUUGUCUUAAAUAAUUGUGUGAAUUUGAUCCUAGAAGCAGCCAGCUGCUAGAUCUUAAAGCAUAUAGUUAUUACACUACCUAGGUUUUCUUGUCUUUAAGAAGAGGGACCUAUUCAUUUCACUACAUUUUAUUAAGCAGGUCUUGCCUGCAAAGCAUUGUGCUCCACACUUCUACAGAGGAGAAACAUGACAGUACGGUGCCCUCUCUUUUCUUCAGGAGCCGAGACCACCCAAAAUAGGUAGGUCUCUAUCCUCCUCUAAACAUUCACAAGGAAGGGUAUUUAGGAACAUCUCUUAAUAAACAAUGUUAAUAAAAGUAAUUCUUCCUAUUUCUUUUCCUUAAAUCCCUUUUGGGAUUUAACAAGGACACUGAUAAAAUGCCUUACAUUCCCUAGAGUUAGGAAGCUUUUUAUUUCUAAUCUAAAUCCUGUGUGCUAUAGCUUAAAUCCAUUUCCUCUUAUUCUGUUCUCAUGGAAGACAGAGAAAAAUCAUUCAUCCUCCUCUAUAUCCUCUAUAUAAUAGUUCUUCAUGUAUUAAAGAUUUCAGUCCUCAUUUCUCCAGGUUACAUAAUGCCAAUUCCUUUAAUUUUAUUCAUAUAUCUUAUUUUCCCAAGCUUUUAAAUUAAUUCCAUUGCACUCCUCUUGGACUCUAUGGAUAAUGAAAUAGUCAUGCAGUCCCUUUCAGAUUCCAAUUGGGUAAUAAACAUUCAAGGAAGGAAGUAUUUUUAAAUCUUAAAUCAGAAUCUCAAAUGACCUGGGGUUUAAAACAUUUUUGGAGAGCAGGAGGAGGCUGGAAAGCACAAAUAAUAUUAUCACAGAAAGCAUGGGAAGAAGUAGGAAAGUACUGUUUGGGUAUUGUUAUUAUUUUAUAAAAGAGAAAAUUAAAGCAUGUAUCACAGCAAAUAAGGAAAAGAUGCAAGAUUAAAGUCACAAUUAAAAUAACCAGCUGCUGAUUCCUGGUUUCCGACCAAAUUGCUGUCAAAUGACUAUGAUACCUGAUCAUAGUAAUCUAGAUUGAAGUUAAAAAAACAACAACAACACAGUACCACAGUUUAAUUGGGCAGUGGGAAUUCACUCUACACUGUGGUCAUAUCACUGUUCUAGAAAGUCUUCCAGUUUUCUCCUCUUCCCUUUCCAACCAAGUUCUGAAAAAGAAUUCCUCUCCACUGAUAUAUUCUACAGGGAGAAGUAAGUAAAACCUCUGAGAUUGUUAACCUAUUAGACUUCAUCUGAUAUCUAGAAUCAAUUAGCAUGUAUAUGAAAUAUUACUUGCCUGAAUUCCUUAACUGAUGAAUAGAUAACUAAAAUAUGGCAUAUCCAUACGACGGAAUAUUAUUCAGCCACAAAAAGGAACGAAGUACUGACACAUGCUACAUACCAUAGAUAAACCUUGAAAACAUAACGUAUAUGAAAGAAGCUAGACACAAAAAGCCACAUAUUGUAUGAGUCCCUUUGUAUGAACUGUCCAAAAUAGGCACAUCCAUAGAGAGAGAAGACAGAUUAGUUCUUACCACAGGCUUUGAGGAAGAGGGUUGGGGAGUAACUGCUUGGUGUAGACAGCAUUUCCAUCUGAGGUGAUGAAAAAGCACUGGAACUCGAUAGUGGCCAUGGCAUUGCAGGGCUCAUAAAGCGAUAUCAUGUUUGUGAAGUUUGCCUUAUGAAAUGUACUUAAUGCCCCUGAAUUGUACACUUUAAAAUGGUUAAAAUGGUAAACUGUAUGCUAUGUGUAUUUUACCACAAUAAAGAAAACGUCAAUUUGU